UACGUAGGGACCAAGCGUUGUUCGGAUUUACUGGGCGUAAAGGGCGCGUAGGCGGCUUAACAAGUCACUUGUGAAAUCUCCGGGCUUAACUCGGAACGGCCAAGUGAAACUGUCAAGCUAGAGUGCAGAAGGGGCAAUCGGAAUUCUUGGUGUAGCGGUGAAAUGCGUAGAUAUCAAGAGGAACACCGGAGGUGAAGACGGGUUGCUGGGCUGACACUGACGCUGAGGCGCGAAAGCCAGGGGAGCAAACGGG
rnacentral:rRNA from 1 species